rnacentral:rRNA from 1 species
UAGGGAAUCUUCGGCAAUGGGGGGAACCCUGACCGAGCAACGCCGCGUGAGUGAAGAAGGUUUUCGGAUCGUAAAGCUCUGUUGUUAAGGAAGAACGAGUGUGAGAAUGGAAAGUUCAUACUGUGACGGUACUUAACCAGAAAGGGACGGCUAACUACGUGCCAGCAGCCGCGGUAAUACGUAGGUGGCAAGCGUUGUCCGGAUUUAUUGGGCGUAAAGCGAGCGCAGGCGGUCAAGUAAGUCUGAUGUGAAAGCCCCCGGCUCAACCGGGGAGGGUCAUUGGAAACUGGUUGACUUGAGUGCAGAAGAGGAGAGUGGAAUUCCAUGUGUAGCGGUGAAAUGCGUAGAUAUAUGGAGGAACACCAGUGGCGAAGGCGACUCUCUGGUCUGUAACUGACGCUGAGGCUCGAAAGCGUGGGUAGCAAACAGG